rnacentral:sRNA from 1 species
AAUUAUUAAUGUCGCACAUGCACCGACACACCUUUUUGGGUGCCUGGCUCUUCUUUGAUAUGGCAGGUUGAAAGGUGGGGUGUAUGGAGGCCUAAC